UCUGCUCAGGAUGAACGCUGGCGGCGUGCUUAACACAUGCAAGUCGAACGAUGAAGCCCAGCUUGCUGGGUGGAUUAGUGGCGAACGGGUGAGUAACACGUGAGUAACCUGCCCUUGACUCUGGGAUAAGCCUGGGAAACUGGGUCUAAUACCGGAUAGGAACGUCCACCGCAUGGUGGGUGUUGGAAAGAUUUAUCGGUCAUGGAUGGACUCGCGGCCUAUCAGCUUGUUGGUGAGGUAAUGGCUCACCAAGGCGACGACGGGUAGCCGGCCUGAGAGGGUGACCGGCCACACUGGGACUGAGACACGGCCCAGACUCCUACGGGAGGCAGCAGUGGGGAAUAUUGCACAAUGGGCGAAAGCCUGAUGCAGCGACGCCGCGUGAGGGAUGACGGCCUUCGGGUUGUAAACCUCUUUCAGUAGGGAAGAAGCGAAAGUGACGGUACCUGCAGAAGAAGCACCGGCUAACUACGUGCCAGCAGCCGCGGUAAUACGUAGGGUGCGAGCGUUAUCCGGAAUUAUUGGGCGUAAAGAGCUCGUAGGCGGUUUGUCGCGUCUGUCGUGAAAGUCCGGGGCUUAACCCCGGAUCUGCGGUGGGUACGGGCAGACUAGAGUGCAGUAGGGGAGACUGGAAUUCCUGGUGUAGCGGUGGAAUGCGCAGAUAUCAGGAGGAACACCGAUGGCGAAGGCAGGUCUCUGGGCUGUAACUGACGCUGAGGAGCGAAAGCAUGGGGAGCGAACAGGAUUAGAUACCCUGGUAGUCCAUGCCGUAAACGUUGGGCACUAGGUGUGGGGACCAUUCCACGGUUUCCGCGCCGCAGCUAACGCAUUAAGUGCCCCGCCUGGGGAGUACGGCCGCAAGGCUAAAACUCAAAGGAAUUGACGGGGGCCCGCACAAGCGGCGGAGCAUGCGGAUUAAUUCGAUGCAACGCGAAGAACCUUACCAAGGCUUGACAUGUUCUCGAUCGCCGUAGAGAUACGGUUUCCCCUUUGGGGCGGGAUCACAGGUGGUGCAUGGUUGUCGUCAGCUCGUGUCGUGAGAUGUUGGGUUAAGUCCCGCAACGAGCGCAACCCUCGUUCCAUGUUGCCAGCACGUGAUGGUGGGGACUCAUGGGAGACUGCCGGGGUCAACUCGGAGGAAGGUGGGGACGACGUCAAAUCAUCAUGCCCCUUAUGUCUUGGGCUUCACGCAUGCUACAAUGGCCGGUACAAUGGGUUGCGAUACUGUGAGGUGGAGCUAAUCCCAAAAAGCCGGUCUCAGUUCGGAUUGGGGUCUGCAACUCGACCCCAUGAAGUCGGAGUCGCUAGUAAUCGCAGAUCAGCAACGCUGCGGUGAAUACGUUCCCGGGCCUUGUACACACCGCCCCGUCAAGUCACGAAAAGUCGGUAACACCCGAAGCCGGUGGGCCUAACCCCUUGUGGGGGGGAGCCGUCGAAGGUGGGACCAGGAU
rnacentral:rRNA from 1 species